CAGAGGCACAAACCAUCUAGGGAAGCAUGACUGCUGUUGUUGUGAUCUAUGGAGUGUGACAGGAAAGUGACAAAGCGGGAUGAAAGGCUGUAAGAGUGGUUCACCUGCACCUGUUGAAGUCACAGUCCUGUCCACAGGACAAUGCCCCACCACCUGAUUGAGUUCAGAAAGUUUACAUCAUAAAAAUCUCCAGUCCUUAAACUGGAUGGCCCACUAACCUACAGGCAAGAACAGACAGUCAAAUUCAGCAGCAAAACCAGCCAAGAUCUCCAUUUUCGGCAGGACAUUUCCCAACAAAACGAAAAAACAAAACUUUCAUCAGAGGACUGUUGCAGCUCACUAUCCCAGUAAAAAUAUUUUACUGAGGCACACAUUACUGGUUAGUGCACUUGGUUGGUGUUGGUCAGAAUGGCCAAAACUGUUCAUCACAGCAUCAUUAAAAUUUCUGUUUCAGUACA